CGUCACCGUCCUCGCCGCCGGCCACCCGAACCGCCGACGCCGCUCCGGCCGCCGUUCCUCACCACCGAAGCAACACCAAGCUCCGUUGCAGUUCGCGCCUUGAGUCGACCCGGCGACGUUGACGCCGGAGUUUUGCCGUCGUUGGCCAACAACCACCACCUCCGCCGCUCCCUGGACCUCGCUGCCUCCGUUUCUCUGCUUGAGGAAGAGUACGUCGAAGAAGAAGAGGGUGAGUUUGUUGACGACCAGGUUCAGGAGUUUGCAGAUGAAGGCAAGUUUGCCCCUCCUUUGAUCACAUUGAUUCUAAGUUUUAUUGGGCUAAAUGAUUCUAUUACAAAC